UUGGGUUAAGUCCCGCAACGAGCGCAACCCUACGUUUAGUUGCUAACGCGUGAAGGCGAGCACUCUAGACGAACUGCCGUUGACAAAACGGAGGAAGUGGGGGAUGACGUCAAAUCAUCAUGCCCCUUAUGUUCUGGGCUACACACGUGCUACAAUGGCCGGUACAGACGGACGCAAAGCCGCGAGGCGGAGCAAAUCCGAAAAAGCCGGUCUCAGUUCGGAUUGCAGGCUGCAAUUCGCCUGCAUGAAGUCGGAAUCGCUAGUAAUCGCAGGUCAGCAUACUGCGGUGAAUACGUUCCCGGGCCUU
rnacentral:rRNA from 1 species